GAGAGGAGGAAGAAGAGCAGGAGAAGGACGAUGGGAGAAGGAAGAGAAGAAGGAGGAGGAGGAAGAGAAGGAAGAAGAAGAGGAGGGAGAGGAGAAAGAGGAAGAGGAGAAGGAGGAGGAGGAGGAGAGAUAAAGAGAAAGGCCACAGAGGUUUCCAUGCAGAGUGCUCCUAUGUGAUGCCAGGGACUAGAGCCUGGGACUACGUAAAUGAUAAAGUGUACAUUCUACCAGAGGACCCCACCAAAAUGUCCUGGAGCCCCACUUCCCCAGAGCCCCGCACCACUAGAGAAAGAGAGAGACAAGCUGGGAGUAUGGAUCGACCUGUCAACACCCACAUUCAGCGGGGAAGCAAUGACAGAAACCAGACCUUCCACCUUCUGCACCCCAUAAUGACCCUGGAUCCAUACUCCCAGAGGGAUAAAGAAUAGGAAAGCUAUCAGGGGAGGGGAUGGGACACGGAGUUCUGGUGGUGGGAAUUGUGUGGAGCUGUACCCCUCUUAUCCUAUGUUUUUUGUCAGUGUUUCCUUUUUAUAAAUA